rnacentral:tRNA from 1 species
UCCCUGAUGGUCCAGUGGUUAAGACUCUGUGCUCCCAAUGCAGCAGGUCCAGGUUUGAUCCCUAGUCAGGGAA